CUGGACAGCUUAAAAAUGGCUGUAGCUAGGACCCUGGCCCAAUAGCGAAAAGCUAGGGACUAGCGCGAGGGAGUCCCCUCCAGAACCUCCGCGCGCCCCGGGGGCGCCAGCUUAGGCAGCCCCGCGAGAUCGGCUGCGGGUACCGCCUCGCAGUCUCGGCUUUGCGCUCUCCUCCGGGGCAGCGCCCUGGACUGCACUUCCAGGGUAAAGACCCCCGCGCAGGGAUGCAGGGGACUCCCACUGCUUCUCUUUUUUCUUUCCUGGGGUUUCCCCUAACGACUUUGGGGGCGGAAUUAAUCAGAGUCUUUGCUGCUGCCGGUCCUCCUCCCCCCACAGUUCUAUCAGUCUUAAGCUCACUUUGUAGCCCAUGCUGGUCUCAAACUCACAAAGAUCCUCCUGCCUCAGCCUCCCACGUGCUGGGACUACAGGCGUGUGCCACCACACCUGGCUCUAAAAUUCUGUUAUAGAUGAAAAUAAACAGCAAUGGACUGCAGUAAAUUAAGAAACUCUUCAACCUUCCUAUAUUGCUUGAUGAUUGGUGAAUCUAACCACCUGCAGCAUUGGGAAUACUGAUAACUGGGCAGCUGUAAUUACAGCUUCUGCUACACUUUUCUGUAGCAGAUGGCUACACACAGCAAACAGUGCACAUUGAAUGUAGCAAACUGUUCUGCUCGGAGCCAUAGAGCAGAAAGAAUGCGUCCUGAGAACAGUACAAGAUGGAACCAUCAGCUAAUCUGAUCAGUUUAGUUAAACAAACCAAACUCCAGUGUUUCUUCAUCUUAUCUGAUGAGUGCUGAGAUUAGCACCAGAAUGCCUCUAGCUUGUUACAUACCUGUACUUGAUGUCCCUUGAGUAAUCAUUUUCUUAACUUGUCCUUUGCUCUCAAUUCUUGAUCUUUUGUCAUGUUUUUCGGUCAGGGUUUCAGUAUGGAAUUCAGGCUGGGCCUGAACUUGUUUGUAGCCAGGGUUAGCCUUGAACUCACAAUGAUUCUCCUUCCUCAACCUCCCACGUGCUGCAUUCUCAGGCAUGGACCACCAAGCCAAGUUAUUCCUGGUAUUUUGAAUAAAGGCUGAACUAACCUCAUUCUGAGCUUGUUUUGCAUCCUUUGGCAUUGUCCCUCUGGUCUCUCAGUGCUCUUGCAAUCUUGGAC
rnacentral:lncRNA from 1 species